GGCCUCAUGUUGGAAUUGGUAGACAACCAAGACUUAAAAUCUUGUGCUCCUUGUGGGCGUCCCGGUUCGAGUCCGGGUGAGGCCACCA
rnacentral:tRNA from 1 species